GGGUGGCAGAGCUUUUUAAGGCCCCUGAGAAUUCCUGUCACUAGCUCCUUCCAACUGAAGCUUCCCAAAGGAAGAGGCAGACAGCCCCACUAGGUCCUGACAGAGGAAGCCCAGAAAAGGGUCAGACAAGCUCUGGUUGGUGUUGUGUUGAUUGAAGCCCAGAGACAAUGGAUGGAGGUAGAACAAUUUAUUAGCACGACAACUACAGCAGCAUAUCGGGGAUAGAAAGUGGAAGAAUUAUCAGUGCUGCACAGGAAUGCUUUCACACGUGUUAUUUACAUGAAGAUGUUGUGCUACUGUUUCACCCCCUGGAAAGACAGCUGCUUUUGUCCUCAUGGUUUGGAUGGGACAGUCUUCCAAAAACCCAGAAUAAAAGACAGCAGUAAUUGCAUGUGUGGUUCAAAAUGAAGAGCUCCAAAGUUGAAAACACCAGCCUCCAGAAUCAUAAAGGAAAAUAGCAAAAUAAAUAUCUAUUUUUCAACUGGAUAUAAAAUAAACAGUAUCUUGGAA